rnacentral:rRNA from 1 species
GCAGAGCCUCAACCUCGUACCUUUUGCAUCAUGAUUUAGCCAGCCUCUUUCAAGCAAAAAGAAUUUUAGUUUGACAACCCGAAACUAAGUGAGCUACUCCAAGACAGCCUGAUUAAUAGGGCCACCCCGUCUCUGUGGCAAAAGAGUGGGAAGAGCUUCGAGUAGAGGUGACAGACCUACCGAACUUAGUAAUAGCUGGUUGCCUGGGAAGUGAAUAGCAGUUCAGCCCCUUGUCUUCUUUAUAAGACAGGGAGGUUAGUCAAAGGGGGUACAGCCCCUUUGAAAUAAGAUACAACUUAAAACAGCAGGGUAAAGAUCAUACUAUAAAUUAGGCCUAACAUUCUGGUGGGCUUAAAAGCAGCCACCCACAAAGAAAGCGUUAAAGCUCGAAUGUACAAUACUGAUAAACUUAUCUUAACCCACUAGUUAUACCAUGCCACCUCAUGCCCCCAUGAGGGAGACCAUGCUAAUAUGAGUAAUAAGAGACGACUCUCUCCUAGCACAAGUGUAGAUCGGAACGGACAAGCCACCGAACAUUAACGGCCCCAAACAAAGAGGGUAAUGAGCCAUCACAAGAAAAACACUCACCGUUAAUCUCACACAAGCGUGCCAGCAAGGAAAGACAAAAAGAAAAAGAAGGAACUCGGCAAAUAAGCUUCGCCUGUUUACCAAAAACAUCGCCUCUUGCGAAUAUAAGAGGUCCCGCCUGCCCUGUGACCACAAGUUUAACGGCCGCGGUAUUCUGACCGUGCAAAGGUAGCGCAAUCACUUGUCUUUUAAAUGAAGACCUGUAUGAAUGGCACGACGAGGGCUUAACUGUCUCCUUUUUCCAGUCAAUGAAAUUGAUCUCCCCGUGCAGAAGCGGGGAUAUAAACAUAAGACGAGAAGACCCUGUGGAGCUUUAGACACCAGAACAGCCCGUGUCAAUAUCACUUAAUUAAAAGACUGAACCAAUCGAUCCCUGUUUGACUGUCUUUGGUUGGGGCGACCGCGGGGGAACAAAAAGCCCCCAUGUGGAAUGGGAGAACUCCUAUAGCCAAGAGCCACAGCUCUAAUUACAGAACUUCUGACCUGAAAGAUCCGGCAAGACCGAUCAACGGACCGAGUUACCCCAGGGAUAACAGCGCAAUCCUCUUCCAGAGCCCAUAUCGACAAGGGGGUUUACGACCUCGAUGUUGGAUCAGGACAUCCUAAUGGUGCAG